AACCUGUGGGAGAACCCGGCGAGCUAAGCCAAACGGAGGGCGGGAGAGAGGAAGCGGCAGCUGGCGCCUCUCGGCAACUCUAACCCUCUGAUAGAGAUCGCCAAGAUUGGUAUCCAUAGAGCUUGCUGUGGUUUGAAUGUAUCCCCCAAAGUUCAUGUGUUGGAAACUAUUCUUAAUGCAAAAGUGUUAAGAGAUCCCGGAGAGCUUGUCCACUGCAACAGUGCAACACGCUAAGGGCUGUGUGGCGGCACAGGGGCUCUGAGCUCCUGACCUGAGUCAUGGGGACCUGAAGGCUGACACCCAGCCCUAUACCUACAAGCUGGGUGAGACCCCUGGCAGUUGCCUACACCCCUGCUGAGACCCAGUACCUCCCUGUAAAAUGGGGGAAAUAAUGCCUGCCUCACAGGGUUUCGAUGAAGGGUGAGUGAAAUAAGGAAACAUUUGGAAACCCCUUGGAGGAGAUCUGCCACAUGGCCUCCAGUGAACUGUAGACUCCUGCAUAGCCUUCCAAAGUUCUUCAUUUGGUGAAUAUUAUGAGAAAUGACACCGAGGUGACUGGCACAUGGUCGAGGCAGCUGCUUAGGCAGCUUAAGCAUGCCCUGUGAAACAUCCCUGUGGGGGACUCCGACCAGCCCAGGCAACGCGGAUCCUGAGAACGCUCCCGGGUAGGCAUCUGCCCCUGUGGGAUGCCUCACCAGAGCAGUGUGUGGCAGGCCCCCGUGGAGGACCAACACAGUGGCUGAACACCGGGAAGGAACAGGAUCUUGGAGUCUGGACAUCUAAAACUUGCACAUGUACCACCCCUAGAAUUUCUGGUAAACCAGCACCAGCCUGAAGAUCACGUUCUCAUCAAACGGUGGAAAGAAGAAAAACUCGAGCCAACCUAGGAAGGACCCCACCUUGUGCUGCUAACCACCAAGACUGCUGUUUGUACAGAAAAAAAAAA
rnacentral:lncRNA from 1 species